UUCUGUUUGGAAAAUGUUAGUGAAUUUGUAAAUGACUUUCUCAAUAUUUCUUUUCUGCUGCAGGGAUGUUUGGUAAGUGAAUUUCGGUAGGCGCUACUGAUUUCGAACAAACUGCACAGUGAUGAAUAAUGCUGUUGGUUUGUGGAAUGGUUUUGAAUUGAAUGCAGUAGGAUUUGUUGAGGCUGAAUACUACAAGUGAGGUCGACUCAUUCAAAUGCUUUGAAUUCGUUUGACACUGCAGCAUAUUCAGGUUCAUACCAACUUAAGCCAAGGCAAGGAUAAGUGACAAAUGAAAUCACUCAGCAUCAUGGGAGUUAUAUGAAGAGCGAGGUGAGGAAAUGGUCUGCCGAACUGAAGAGAGAUAGGUCCAGGGGUCUGGUCAAAGUUUUAGUCAACGGUUGACCUUAAAAGUCAACGGCACAAAGAAAGUCAGCACAUAGGAAAUGUAUAUUUUGUGUAAUUCUUUUUUGUAAUGACUUUGGAUAGGGUGUAAUGAAAUGGAAAAUAUA